rnacentral:sRNA from 1 species
UCAUUGCACACACACGAAUGUUGCAGCAAACCCCGGUUUAGGCGAACUAACACAUUGUCCCCGCAAAACUUGCGUCCCGGACGCGGGUCGGGCCUCCUUUCUGCUUCGGGGGUUCCUUCCUUCGCAUUUCUCCCGCCUCCCGCCCCUCUCCCUCGCGGGGGUUGGGUUGGGGCGCGGGGGACUUGGGUCGGAGGGGGCCGCGCGAGCUCGAACGCGGAAAGGGGGUCCCGGCCCCCGCGCCCGGCGACCACCACAUUUCGGAUUGCGCGAUGCGUGAACACUUUGGCGUACGACUGAGUCCCUUUAUUGACACUCUGGGAGGAGGAGGGGUUCUCCCUCCCGAGUUGUUUUGGAACAUAACCGAAAACAACUCUCAGCAACGGAUAUCUUGGCUCUUGCAACGAUGAAGAACGCAGCGAAAUGCGAUACGUAGUGUGAAUUGCAGAAUUCCGCGAAUCAUCGAGUCUUUGAACGCAAGUUGCGCCCGAGGCUCGUCCGAGGGCAUUUCCGCUAGAGCGUCACCGCGCUCCCCCACCGACCCUCUAAACCGCCGGGUCUCGUACUCGGCGGGGAGUGGAGGUCGAGUGGAAGUGGCCGUCCCGAUGGGGGGCGGCGCGGCGCGCCUCAGAAACGCGCCCGCCGUCGAUCGGGUCGGCUGAAAUGGAGGGAAUUUGGCCGCCGUGGUGACGGAGCCCGCGAUCAGGUGAUCCGGGGGUAAAAGCCCGGAGCUCGAACGUGCGAGGCUCUGCGUCGCCCAGUGUCGGAUUCCCUUGCACAAUGAAAUGCAGGUCUGUGUGUUCGGUCCCGGAAAGGAAGGCGAACACGCCCGAGUCACGCAUCGGA